rnacentral:misc_RNA from 1 species
GAUGAAGAACGCAGCGAAAUGCGAUACUUGGUGUGAAUUGCAGAAUCCCGCGAACCAUCGAGUCUUUGAACGCAAGUUGCGCCCGAAGCCAUUAGGCCGAGGGCACGCCUGCCUGGGCGUCACACGUCGUUGCCCCCCCAUCUACUCCUUCGGGAUUGCGGGGGGCGGAUGAUGGCCUCCCGUGCGCCUCGUCGCGCGGUUGGCAUAAAUACCAAGUCCUCGGCGACGCACGCCACGACAAUCGGUGGUUGCGAAACCUCGGUUGCCCGUCGUGUGCGGUCGUCGCGCAUCGAGGGCUCGAAAAAAUUGCCGGGCUCCGGCUCGGCUUUCAACGCGACCCCAGGUCAGGCGGGGUUACCCGCUGAAUUUAAGCAUAUCAAUAAGCGGAGGA